rnacentral:rRNA from 1 species
UGGGGAAUCUUGCGCAAUGGGCGAAAGCCUGACGCAGCGACGCCGCGUGGGUGAUGAAGGCCUUAGGGUCGUAAAGCCCUGUCGUAGGGGAAGAAACCGGGCAACCGCUGACGGUACCCUACAAGAAAGCACAGGCUAACUCCGUGCCAGCAGCCGCGGUAAUACGGAGUGUGCGAGCGUUGUUCGGAAUUACUGGGCGUAAAGCGCGUGUAGGCGGUUAUGUAAGUCGGAUGUGAAAUCCUGGGGCUCAACCCCAGAACUGCAUUCGAAACUGCAUGACUUGAGUUCGGGAGGGGGUGGCGGAAUUCCGAGUGUAGAGGUGGAAUUCGUAGAUAUUCGGAGGAACACCCGUGGCGAAGGCGGCCACCUGGACCGAUACUGACGCUGAGACGCGAAAGCGUGGGGAGCAAACAGG